AAUAGAUACCCCGGUAGUCCACGCCGUAAACGAUGGAUGCUAGCUAUUGGGGGGAAUCGACCCCCUCCGAAGCGAAGCUAACGCGUUAAGCAUCCCGCCUGAGUAGUACGAGCGCAAGCUUAAAACUCAAAGGAAUUGACGGGGACCCGCACAAGCGGUGGAGCGUGUGGUUUAAUUCGAUGGUAAACGAAGAACCUUACCAAGGUUUGACAUCCCGGUAGCCGUUCUCCGAAAGGAGAAUUUCAUUUAGUUGGACCGGUGACAGGUGAUGCAUGGCCGUCGUCAGCUCGUGUCGUGAGAUGUUGGGUUAAGUCCCGCAACGAGCGCAACCCUUAUGAUUUAGUUGGAUUUUUCUAAACAGACUGCCCUGGUAACAGGGAGGAAGGAGGGGAUGAUGGUCAGGUCAGUAUUUCCCUUACACCUUGGGGCGACACACGCGCUACAAUGGCCGGUACAAUGGGCAGCUAAGCCGCGAGGUGGAGCAAAUCCCAUCAAAGCCGGUCCCAGUUCGGAUUGCAGGCUGAAACCCGCCUGCAUGAAGCCGGAAUCGCUAGUAACC
rnacentral:rRNA from 1 species